GACGAACGCUGGCGGCGUGCUUAACACAUGCAAGUCGAACGGAAAGGCCCUGCUUUUGUGGGGUGCUCGAGUGGCGAACGGGUGAGUAACACGUGAGUAACCUGCCCUUGACUUUGGGAUAACUUCAGGAAACUGGGGCUAAUACCGGAUAGGAGCUCCUGCUGCAUGGUGUGGGUUGGAAAGUUUCGGCGGUUGGGGAUGGACUCGCGGCUUAUCAGCUUGUUGGUGGGGUAGUGGCUUACCAAGGCUUUGACGGGUAGCCGGCCUGAGAGGGUGACCGGCCACAUGGGGACUGAGAUACGGCCCAGACUCCUACGGGAGGCAGCAGUGGGGAAUAUUGCACAAUGGGCGGAAGCCUGAUGCAGCAACGCCGCGUGCGGGAUAACGGCCUUCGGGUUGUAAACCGCUUUCGCCUGUGACGAAGCGUGAGUGACGGUAAUGGGUAAAGAAGCACCGGCUAACUACGUG
rnacentral:rRNA from 1 species